rnacentral:rRNA from 1 species
UACAGAGGUGGCAAGCGUUGUUCGGAAUUACUGGGCGUAAAGGGCGCGUAGGCGGCCUUCUAAGUCAGACGUGAAAUCCCCCGGCUUAACCUGGGAACUGCGUCUGAUACUGGGAGGCUUGAGUAUGGGAGAGGGAUGUAGAAUUCCAGGUGUAGCGGUGAAAUGCGUAGAUAUCUGGAGGAAUACCGGUGGCGAAGGCGAGUCCCUGGACAACACCUGACACUGAGGCACGAAAGCUAGGGGAGCAAACAGG